UUGCAGUUAAAAAGCUCGUAGUCGGAUUUCAGUAUUAGGCCCUUCUUCCAAUACGGUUGCUAGUGGUCUUUACUUCCUUAACAGAAUCUUUCAUCUCAUUAAUUUGGGGUGUUUGGGGCCUGUUUCUUUUACUUUGAGAAAAUUAGAGUGUUCAAAGCGGGUUUUCGCCUGGAUAUUACUCUUGGAAUAAUAAUAUAGGACUUUGGUUCUUUUUUGUUGGUGACUUAGAACCGAAGUAAUGAUUGAUAGGGACAGUUGGGGUCAUUCGUACUAUGAAGCGAGAGGUGAAAUUCAUGGACCUUUGUAUGACGAACUACUGCGAAAGCAUUUGACUAGGAUGUUCCCGUUGAUCAAGAACGAAAGUUGGGGGAUCGAAGACGAUCAGAUACCGUCGUAGUCUCAACCAUAAACUAUGCCAGCUAGGGAUUGGAGGAAGAUCAUUUUACGUCUCCUUCAGCACCUUAUGAGAAAUCAAAGCAUUUGGGUUCCGGGGGGAGUAUGGUCGCAAGGCUGAAACUUAAUGGAAUUGACAGGAGGGCACCACCAGGAGUGGAGCCUGCGGCUUAAUUUGAUUCAACACGGGAAAACUUACCAGGUCCGGACAUGGGAAGGAUUGACAGAUUGAAAGCUCUUUCUUGAUUCUAUGGGUGGUGGUGCAUGGCC
rnacentral:rRNA from 1 species